rnacentral:lncRNA from 1 species
CUGAUAUCUAUUCUAUUCUUAGUAUGUGAAGCCUGUGAUAUAUGGACAAGGCCAUCUAAUUCCACUAUCUCCAGUUCAAUGAUGUUUUGAUCAGUAAAAUACCACAUUCUCCUGCUGCUGCCUCUAUGCACGUGUAUUGGAAUCUGAGGUCUAAAAAUUAGAGAAGGUGAACAAGAACACACACUAUGACCUACUUACCUCGUUCCUCAGGCUGAGUUUUCUCAAAGUGUUUAAGUGGAAGAUCUUGGGAUAAAGGAAGCAUCUUGGCAGCUGAGGCUAUUGCUGCUGAACCCCUUUGAAAAAACACAGAAAACAUGGAAUCUUUUUAAAAAUAUUAUGAAUAAGGU